UACGUAGGGGGCAAGCGUUAUCCGGAUUCAUUGGGCGUAAAGCGCGCGCAGGCGGGCUGCUAAGCGGGACCUCUAAUCUCAGGGCUCAACCUUGAGCCGGGUCCCGAACUGGCAGCCUCGAGUGCGGUAGGGGAGGUCGGAAUUCCCGGUGUAGCGGUGGAAUGCGCAGAUAUCGGGAAGAACACCGAUGGCGAAGGCAGACCUCUGGGCCGACACUGACGCUGAGGCGCGAAAGCUAGGGGAGCGAA
rnacentral:rRNA from 1 species